rnacentral:rRNA from 1 species
AGUGAACGCUGGCGGCAGGCCUAACACAUGCAAGUCGAGCGGCAGCGCGUCCGACCACCCUCGGGUGGUCGGAUGGCGGCGAGCGGCGGACGGGUGAGGAAUGCAUCGGAAUCUGCCUCGUUGUGGGGGAUAACGUAGGGAAACUUACGCUAAUACCGCAUACGACCUACGGGUGAAAGUGGGGGACCUUCGGGCCUCACGCGAUGAGAUGAGCCGAUGCCGGAUUAGCUAGUUGGCGGGGUAAAGGCCCACCAAGGCGACGAUCCGUAGCUGGUCUGGGAGGAUGAUCAGCCACACUGGAACUGAGACACGGUCCAGACUCCUACGGGAGGCAGCAGUGGGGAAUAUUGGACAAUGGGGGCAACCCUGAUCCAGCCAUGCCGCGUGUGUGAAGAAGGCC